AUUGAACGCUGGCGGCAGGCUUAACACAUGCAAGUCGAGCGGAGUGAUGGUGCUUGCACUAUCACUUAGCGGCGGACGGGUGAGUAAUGCUUAGGAAUCUGCCAUUUAGUGGGGGACAACAUUCCGAAAGGAAUGCUAAUACCGCAUACGUCCUACGGGAGAAAGCAGGGGAUCUUCGGACCUUGCGCUAAAUGAUGAGCCUAAGUCGGGUUAGCUAGUUGGUGGGGUAAAGGCCUACCAAGGCGACGAUCUGUAGCGGGUCUGAGAGGAUGAUCCGCCACACUGGGACUGAGACACGGCCCAGACUCCUACGGGAGGCAGCAGUGGGGAAUAUCGGACAAUGGGCGGAAGCCUGAUCCAGCCAUGCCGCGUGUGUGAAGAAGGCCUUUUGGUUGUAAAGCACUUUAAGCGAGGAGGAGGCUACUAGUACUAAUACUACUGGAUAGUGGACGUUACUCGCAGAAUAAGCACCGGCUAACUCUGUGCCAGCCGCCGCUGUAAAAC
rnacentral:rRNA from 1 species